rnacentral:lncRNA from 1 species
CAAAAGAUGGCGCUGCUGUGUAGCUGAGUUAUCGUUCUUCAAUAAUCAAUUGCUUUCUACAAUUUAAUUCAACUGCUAAAAUGGCGGAAAUGCAUGUGUCCUAAGAACAAGUAACACAGGUCUGAAAAUGCAGUGAUCCCAAUCAGAUUGGAAGCUGCCAUUCUGCUGAUACCCAGGUGAACACUGGAAUUUUCCUAUCCAACUUUCUUUUAACCUGAGUUCUCCUUACCCACUACUUCUUCUGGACUAGAAAAAGAGCAAUGAAGAAUGGGUAUUGAAUUGAAGACAAUGUAGGAGGUUGAAAAACAAUCAAG